UACGAAGGGGGCGAGCGUUGUUCGGAAUUACUGGGCGUAAAGGGCGCGCAGGCGGCUCUGAAAGUCAGAUGUGAAAGCCCCGGGCUUAACCUGGGAAUUGCAUUUGAUACUCUGGAGCUUGAGUGUGGGAGAGGAGAGUGGAAUUCCCAGUGUAGAGGUGAAAUUCGUAGAUAUUGGGAAGAACACCGGUGGCGAAGGCGGCUCUCUGGACCACAACUGACACUGAGAGACGAAAGCCAGGGGAGCAAACGGG
rnacentral:rRNA from 1 species